CAGCAGCCACGGUAAAACGUAGGUGGCGAGCGUUGUCCGGAUUUAUUGGGCGUAAAGGGCUCGCAGGCGGUUUCUUAAGUCUGAAGUUAAAGGCUGUGGCUUAACCAUAGUACGCUUUGGAAACUGUUUAACUUGAGUGCAAGAGGGGAGAGUGGAAUUCCGUGUGUAGCGGUGAAAUGCGUAGAGAUGUGGAGGAACACCAGUGGCGAAGGCGACUCUCUGGUCUGUAACUGACGCUGAGGAGCGAAAGCGUGGGGAGCGAACAGGAUUAGAUACCCGCGUAGUCCCUGUCUCUUAUACA
rnacentral:rRNA from 1 species